GUGCCAGCAGCCGCGGUAAUACGUAGGUCCCGAGCGUUGUCCGGAUUUAUUGGGCGUAAAGCGAGCGCAGGCGGUUAGAUAAGUCUGAAGUUAAAGGCUGUGGCUUAACCAUAGUACGCUUUGGAAACUGUUUAACUUGAGUGCAAGAGGGGAGAGUGGAAUUCCAUGUGUAGCGGUGAAAUGCGUAGAUAUAUGGAGGAACACCGGUGGCGAAAGCGGCUCUCUGGCUUGUAACUGACGCUGAGGCUCGAAAGCGUGGGGAGCAAACAGGA
rnacentral:rRNA from 1 species